GUGCUUGCUUCAGCAGCACAUAUGCCAAAACUGGAAUGAUAGAAAGAAUAGCAUGGCCCCUGAACAAGGAUGACAUGCAAAUUCAUGAAGAAUUUCAUAUUUUA
ensembl:snRNA U6 U6 spliceosomal RNA